UAAUCUUGCUUGGUGAUAAUGAUCAAUGAUUUGUAAGCUUGCUGAUCAGUUUCAUUUUUUGAUGGUUUCCAGCUUUAGUUUGAUUCUGAUGGCAUUAUGAAGCUGGGUUCACCCCAUUAAACUGAAGAACAUAAGGAUUUGAUUUUUAUGGUAUUAUGAACUGGGUUCAUUCCAUAAAGCUGGGUUCACUCCAUAAGAACCUGAAGGCUUUGACAUUGAAGCUUAUGUAGUUAAGCACACAUACGAAACUUCUUCAGCAACUUGUCAUCAUGAUGUUAUAACUGAUUCACAAAUCUCUUUGUAUUUGUCAGCCAUGUUGUUGCAGUUUUACUUAAACAGAGAGGUUUGACAAAAUCAACAAGAAGGAGCUUAAAUCAAAUAGAAUGCUGCUCUGGGUUAUUUUGAUAUGAAUCAGAGAAAGUGGGGUUAGCACCUCUUUAGUCUAGGAUGUACGUACUUUUUUGGUUUGGUAAACUAUUGUUAUUGUAUUAAGUAUCCAUUUUGGUAAACUAUUGUCAUUGUAUUAAGUAUCCACUAAAUCAUAUGAAUGAAGAUGAAAAUGUCUUAUUUCUUUAUAACGUUUUCCAUAUUACACUCUUAAUUGAGUAAUAACAUCGUAGUUACAUAGCCAGAUUACACUCUUAUUUCUUUAUUACGUUUUUCAUAUUACACUCUUAAUUUAUGUAACUAUUCAUGUAACUAUCCAUCUAUGUAACUAUUUAUUAUGUAACUAUCCAUGUAACUAUCUAUGUAACUAUGUAACUAUGCAUGUAACUAUCCAUCUAUGUAACUAUGCAUGUAACCAUUCAUUUAUGUAAUUAUCUAUCUAUGUAACUAUCCAUGUAACUAUGCAUGUAACUAUACAUGUAACUAUCCAUGUAACUAUCCAUCUAUAUAACUAUCCAUGUAACUAUACAUGUAACUAUUCAUCUAUGUAACUAUCCAUGUAACUAUUCAUACAACUAUCCAUAUAAUUAUCCAUGUAAUUACCCAUGUAACUAGCAAUGUAACUAUCCAUGUAACUACAGUUUGAUAGUUACAUGGGUAGUUACAUACAUGCUACACUUGUGUAACAACAUUAACCUGCCUAUGUAACUAUCAAUGUAACUAUGCAUGUAACUAUCCAUCUAUGUAAUUAUCCAUGUAACUAUCCAUCUAUGUAACUAUGUAUGUAACUAUCCAUCUAUGUAACUA
rnacentral:lncRNA from 1 species